rnacentral:rRNA from 1 species
UACCUGCAGUCGAACGGCAGCACGGGGGCAACCCUGGUGGCGAGUGGCGAACGGGUGAGUAAUACAUCGGAACGUGUCCUGGAGUGGGGGAUAGCCCGGCGAAAGCCGGAUUAAUACCGCAUACGCUCUGAGGAGGAAAGGGGGGGAUCUUAGGACCUCUCGCUUUAGGGGCGGCCGAUGGCAGAUUAGCUAGUUGGUGGGGUAAAGGCCUACCAAGGCGACGAUCUGUAGCUGGUCUGAGAGGACGACCAGCCACACUGGGACUGAGACACGGCCCAGACUCCUACGGGAGGCAGCAGUGGGGAAUUUUGGACAAUGGGGGCAACCCUGAUCCAGCAAUGCCGCGUGUGUGAAGAAGGCCUUCGGGUUGUAAAGCACUUUUGUCCGGAAAGAAAUCAUCCUGGCUAAUAUCCGGGGUGGAUGACGGUACCGGAAGAAUAAGCACCGGCUAACUACGUGCCAGCAGCCGCGGUAAUACGUAGGGUGCAAGCGUUAAUCGGAAUUACUGGGCGUAAAGCGUGCGCAGGCGGUUCGCUAAGACAGAUGUGAAAUCCCCGGGCUUAACCUGGGAACUGCAUUUGUGACUGGCGGGCUAGAGUAUGGCAGAGGGGGGUAGAAUUCCACGUGUAGCAGUGAAAUGCGUAGAGAUGUGGAGGAAUACCGAUGGCGAAGGCAGCCCCCUGGGCCAAUACUGACGCUCAUGCACGAAAGCGUGGGGAGCAAACAGGAUUAGAUACCCUGGUAGUCCACGCCCUAAACGAUGUCAACUAGUUGUCGGGUCUUCAUUGACUUGGUAACGAAGCUAACGCGUGAAGUUGACCGCCUGGGGAGUACGGUCGCAAGAUUAAAACUCAAAGGAAUUGACGGGGACCCGCACAAGCGGUGGAUGAUGUGGAUUAAUUCGAUGCAACGCGAAAAACCUUACCUACCCUUGACAUGGUCAGGACCCUGCUGAAAGGCGGGGGUGCCCGAAAGGGAACUGAUACCCA